rfam:Procavia capensis cont1.97923, whole genome shotgun sequence.
UGUUCUUGAGCAGGAAAGGGACCAGGUAGAAUAGCAUACAGUAUCUCUCUUAUUCCCACGCAGAUGUCUGAGCUUCUUUUUCCUUUGGUCAAAUCUAAUUUGUAUUUCCUCCUGGUUAAUACCACCAGAGUGAUUCAGGCUGCUUUUCUGCCUG